rnacentral:rRNA from 1 species
CUUCCAGACUCCUACGGGAGGCAGCAGUAGGGAAUCUUUCACAAUGGGCGAAAGCCUGACGGAGCAACGCCGCGUGAUCGAAUGAAGGCCUUCGGGUUGUAAAGAUCUGUUGACAGGGACGAAUAAGCAAUGCGAAUAGUUUUGUGUAUGGCGGUACCUGUUUAGAAAGCUCCGGCUAACUACGUGCCAGCAGCCGCGGUAAUACGUAGGGAGCAAGCGUUGUCCGGAAUUACUGGGCGUAAAGGGCGCGUAGGUGGGCGCUUAAGUCAGGUGUGAAAACUCCGGGCUCAACCUGGAGACUGCACUUGAAACUGGGUGUCUUGAGGGCAGGAGAGGAAAGUGGAAUUCCUAGUGUAGCGGUGAAAUGCGUAGAUAUUAGGAGGAACACCAGUGGCGAAGGCGGGUUCCUGGACAUUAACUGACGCUGAGGCACGAAGGUCAGGGGAGCGAAAGGGAUUAGAUACCCCCGUAG